ACAGUUAAAACAAAAAGGACAAAGAAAAUAAAUACUAAUAUUCUAAAAAGCUCUUCCACAAAGGAUUUAGAUAGUAGUCUAAACUGAAUAGUCAAUGAAUGUUAACAAACUAAGAUUUAUUGAAUUAUAUUUAAGAUUGUGUUGUAUCUUUAUUUAAUUUGAUUGUACUAUAGGUUUUAACAGGUAUGUAAAUAUUAAAACAAGAUAUGCAUUGUGAAAUUGAGUAGGCUAAUGGAUUGAUCAUUUUGCCCUACCAAAUUAUUUCAUAUUAUGUUUGCCCUCAUCUCAGCAGAAACACACACAUACAUCCUACCUAUACACAGACACACUUGAUGUGUUUCAUAAAAGCCUUGAGUCAGAGCAUGCAGAACAAAUAAAAAUCCCUGUUUUUUUCUUAAAUCCUGGGGACACUGUAAAAUUUAUUAAACUUCAUUAUACUUCAAUAUGUUGUUUGUUGCAGAUUCUUCAAGAUUUGAAGGAAAAGGUGAUGAACAUUUAUUAAAUCAGUUCACUGAGCACUGAGCAAUGGCUUAAGGGAAGGUGAACUUGACCUGAAAGACAGUUUUAAAAUUAUGACCAAUUUGUUUUCUGUCUCAACCCAUCUUUGUACUAUCACGUGAUAUGACAUUAUGCAAUAUGAAGAAUUAUUAAAAAUAGCUUUAAUAUUAAGGAAUUUUCUAUCUCAGCACAUAAUGCAAGAAAAAAUAUAAUUUAGCACAUACCUAUGUCCUUUGUAUUAAAAAAUUGCAGUUACUACCUAUGUAUAUGAUGUGAUACAAAAAUCAACUCAUGUGCAUAGUGUGACUGAAAACAUUCAAUGUGUGAGAUUCAGUCAUCAGCUGCCAUCUUGUAUAUAAACUUAAUCUGUCUAGUGGUUAGCCUUUAUUUUCAGACCCUGAAGUUACAUCAGAGACACUAUCUUCUGCCAAAAAGAUUGUAUAUCCUGGCUUCCCUUCUUGUUAGAUAUGGUCAUGUGAUUGAAUUCUUUUCAACUAAGGUGAAUAUACAUCUGUGAGUACUACUAAUGAAGGUCAAGGCACUUGCAGAACUCUUGCAACUAAAUGACUGGAAAAAAUUAUUAAUUCAGGUCAAAGAAGAGAAACAAAUUAUUCAAA
ensembl:lncRNA